CAAAUGUGUGUGGGGCACUUAAAAGAAAAAUGUAUAACUUGUUUUAUAUAUACAAAAUAGAAGGCCAUUCUAAAAUAAAAAAGGAAGUAUGUUGCAAUCUUCUAAAGAAGUCAGUAAUUGUAAAAAUGGAGAGGGUGAAUGGUGGAUUUUUCCAGCCCUCAGUAAUGUGUUGUUCAAUCCUUAUGAAAUCAUUCUAAGCUUCAGUUUGACUGGAUUUCCUUUUUUCAUGUUGCAACAUAUUGUGAGAUAAUAUGUACGUUAUAGCUGUGGUUAGAGAAUAACUUUGCAUUAUAAAUACUGGAGCACUCUAAAGAAGUUACCAGUCUCAAACAGACUAACUUGUGAAACUGUUGAGGUAUUCUUUGCAUCAAGAUGUGGAAGAAGGGCAUUGCCUUGUUUUUUAUUGCAUCACUUGUGUUGCAGGCUACUCUUGCAGAUGCAGGUAAAAACAAUGAAGAUGUUAAUGAUCUUGAAUUACAAAAUGUGCCAAGAGGAAGAAGAUUUUGCUUUAACAUGUGCUUCAGAAGAAGAGGACGCAUAAUUUGCAUACGCCGUUGUAACCGUAGGGGCCCUAGCUUCAAGCCCAUGGAACCUGUGGUUUAUGAAGUUUAGAAGAUGAAAGUGGAAAAGAAAACGAGACCAUUUCUAAAAAUUCAGUGCCUGAAUUUACAUUUGUGUCUCCAUAGUAUGACUCCGAUUGUACAUGUUCAAACUUAAGAAUGGGUUCUUCCUCUAGAGAAUUAAUCUCUUUAAUGUAUUGCUUGUUCUAUUAAUUAAACCAAGAAGAGUUGUACUCAUCAAUCAUGUGUUGAAAGUUUACUUUGCUUUUAUGCUUAUUGUUUUAUACUUGCUAGAAUAUGAACAAAAUAUGAAAGGCUAACUGAAAACUAUAACAUACAAAUGCUUUUAUGUUUACUUGUAAUAAAGCAUUCAGAAAUA